UAUAUAGGAAUGGAGCUUGGAGACUUCCUCCUGCAAGAUCAGAUCAUCAAUUACAACUGAUCUCCUAUCUAACAACGGUUCAACUCACAUGUGAUCACGAUUGCUACCUCUGGGAGAUGGAAGGGAAGAUAAUGCAGAAAUUCGAGACAUGGAAGGUAUAUCACUACCUCCGAGGGAACAUAGAUACAGUCAACUGGGCGCCGGCUGUUUGGUCAUCAAAAAGCAUUCUGAGGCAGUCGUUUCAUUCUUGGUUGGUUGUGCUUGAUCGUAAUCCAACCCGUUAC
rnacentral:lncRNA from 1 species